rnacentral:rRNA from 1 species
GGCUCAGGACGAACGCUGGCGGCGCGCCUAAUACAUGCAAGUCGAGCGAGAAGGUGUAGCAAUACACUUGUAAAGCGGCGAACGGGUGAGGAAUACAUGGGUAAUCUACCAUCGAGUGGGGAAUAACCAGCCGAAAGGUUGGCUAAUACCGCGUACGCCUCCGGAUCUUCGGGUUCGGAGGGAAAGCCACACUGUGAGUGCGGCGCUCUUUGAUGAGCUCAUGUCCUAUCAGCUUGUUGGUAGGGUAACGGCCUACCAAGGCUUUGACGGGUAGCUGGCCUGAGAGGACGAUCAGCCACACUGGCACUGCGACACGGGCCAGACUCCUACGGGAGGCAGCAGUAAGGAAUAUUGCGCAAUGGGCGAAAGCCUGACGCAGCGACGCCGCGUGGGGGAUGAAGGUUUUCGGAUUGUAAACCCCUUUCGGGAGGGAAGAUGGAGCGAGCAAUCGUUCGGACGGUACCUCCAGAAGCAGCCACGGCCAACUUCGUGCCAGCAGCCGCGGUAAUACGAAGGUGGCAAGCGUUGUUCGGAUUCACUGGGCGUACAGGGUGUGUAGGCGGUUUGGUAAGCCUUCUGUUAAAGCUUCGGGCCCAACCCGGAAAGCGCAGAGGGUACUGCCAGGCUAGAGGGUGGGAGAGGAGCGCGGAAUUCCCGGUGUAGCGGUGAAAUGCGUAGAGA